AGUGAACGCUGGCGGUAGGCCUAACACAUGCAAGUCGAACGGCAGCACAGUAAGAGCUUGCUCUUACGGGUGGCGAGUGGCGGACGGGUGAGGAAUACAUCGGAAUCUACUUUUUCGUGGGGGAUAACGUAGGGAAACUUACGCUAAUACCGCAUACGACCUACGGGUGAAAGCAGGGGAUCUUCGGACCUUGCGCGAUUGAAUGAGCCGAGGGGGGAGGAGCUAGGGGGGGGGGUAAAGGCCCGCCAAGGCGACGAUCCGUAGCUGGUCUGAGAGGAUGAUCAGCCACACUGGAACUGAGACACGGUCCAGACUCCUACGGGAGGCAGCAGUGGGGAAUAUUGGACAAAGGGCGCAAGCCUGAUCCAGCCAUACCGCGUGGGUGAAGAAGGCCUUCGGGUUGUAAAGCCCUUUUGUUGGGAAAGAAAAGCAGCAGGUUAAUACCCCGCUGUUCUGACGGUACCCAAAGAAUAAGCACCGGCUAACUUCGUG
rnacentral:rRNA from 1 species